UUCAGACGAUGCGUCAUGCAUAUCAAUAAGCGGAGGAAAAGAAACUAACAAGGAUUCCCCUAGUAACGGCGAGUGAAGCGGGAAGAGCUCAAAUUUGAAAUCUUAAAGGGUUUCCCUUUACGAAUUGUAGUUUAAAGAAGUGUUUUCUGUUGAGGUUCUGGUAAAAGUUCUUUGGAAUAGGACAUCAUAGAGGGUGAGAAUCCCGUAUUUGACCUUUACUUUCAACUUUGUGAUACACUUUCAAAGAGUCGGAUUGUUUGGGAAUGCAGUCCAAAAUGGGUGGUAAAUUUCAUCUAAAGCUAAAUAUUGGCGAGAGACCGAUAGCGAACAAGUACCGUGAGGGAAAGAUGAAAAGAACUUUGAAAAGAGAGUUAAACAGUACGUGAAAUUGUCAAAAGGGAAGCGUUUGACACCAGUGUUGUUUUUCUGAAAAUCAAUUAAAGAACUGUUUAUGCUAAGUUGUUUAGACUUUAUCAGCUAACUGUUUAGUUUUGAGCUUUUCUUUAAUGCACUUUUCAGUUAACAAGUCAACAUCAAUUUCUUUUGCUGUAAAAAAGCUUGAGGAAGGUGGCUUGAGAUUCGUCUUAAGUGUUUAUAGCCUCUUGCCUAUGCAGUCGGAGAGAUUGAGGUCUGCAGCGUAGAUCCUUCGGGGCUAAAUGCAUUUGUGCUAAGUUAUAGCAUUUUAUAGACAACUUGUUGACUAUGAUUUGUCUUGUAGCUUACUCGCUUAUGUUAUUUUACCUACGCUUAGGAUGUUGAAUCUGUGCGAGACUAC
rnacentral:rRNA from 1 species